rnacentral:rRNA from 1 species
AAUGAACGUUGGCGGCGUGGAUUAGGCAUGCAAGUCGAACGAGAUCUGUAGCAAUACAGUGAAAGUGGCGAAAGGGAGAGUAAUACGUAGGUACCUGCCCUCGGGUCUGGGAUAGCUGCGGGAAACUGCAAUUAAUACCGGAUGACGUCUCUGGACCAAAGGUGUGAUUCCGCCAGAGGAUGGGCCUGCGUCCUAUCAGCUAGUUGGUGUGGUAAAGGCGCACCAAGGCGAAGACGGGUACGGGGUGUGAGAGCAUGCCCCCGCUCACUGGGACUGAGAUACUGCCCAGACACCUACGGGUGGCUGCAGUCGAGAAUCUUCCGCAAUGGGCGAAAGCCUGACGGAGCGACGCCGCGUGUGGGAUGAAGGCCUUCGGGUUGUAAACCACUGUCAGUGGGGAGCAAGUGCAUCGGGGUUCUCCCCGGUGUUUGAGCGAUCCGCAGAGGAAGCACAGGCUAAUUCCGUGCCAGCAGCCGCGGUAAUAC